rnacentral:rRNA from 1 species
UACGGGGGGAGCAAGCGUUGUUCGGAUUUACUGGGCGUAAAGGGCGCGUAGGCGGUCAGCACAAGUCAGUUGUGAAAUCUCCGGGCUUAACUCGGAAAGGUCAACUGAUACUGUGCGACUAGAGUGCGGAAGGGGCAACUGGAAUUCUCGGUGUAGCGGUGAAAUGCGUAGAUAUCGUUUGGAACGCCAGUGGUGAAAACGGGUCGCUGGGGACAUGCUGACGCUGAGGCGCGAAAGCGUGGGGAGCGAACGGG